GUUAUUGAAUUUUAUAAAUAUUUAUCCUAUGAUUUACCAUUAAAACAUUAUACUUAGAUUGUAAUGUUUACAUAUUUUGGUUGGAAUUUAAAAUGCUUAUUAUUUGUAACAAAAUCUUAUGGUAGUAUUCAACAUAGAAAAACCCCAAACUAAUUAUUUAUGCUCAUUAUUCUUAACAGUAUUUUUGAAUUAGACUCCAUAAAAAUAAUUAUGAGAAUGUUAUAACAUUUUGCCUAUGAGUUGUUGAUGGGUUGACAUAAUUUUAUUAGCUUGAUAGGGCUGUAUGUUUGCACAAAAACAUAUUCAACAGGUAUUUUAUAAGAAAAUGGUUAGAAAUUAGGUGGGUGUUAUAAGCAGUGAUAAAAAAUAUAUUUCAAGCAAAAAGAAAAAUACUAAAUUUUGUUAGGGAGGGUAGUUUAUUAUUUGUUUUGAUGUUGACCUUGUGAUGCUUAAAGGGAUAACAAUAAUUCUGUAUUGACCAAAAUUGUUUUUUCCAGCUCCAAACAGGAUUGUGAUAAGAAAAAAAUUAAAAUAUAUUUAUUUGUUAGAUAUAUUUUGUUUGAGGCCUGGAUGGUAAUGUACCUUGACCUGGAGAUUAAUUUAUGAACAAACUUUUCACAGUUUUUGAAUUUAUGUUUGAUUCUGAAAAAGAAAAAAGUCUUAUAUACAGUGUUUUCAAAUUGUUUUCCUUUGUAGAUUCGACCAUGCGUAGUCAUUUAUGAUAUUAAUGCUACAAACUGCAGAACAUUUAAGCAAUGCUCAAAUGCACCUGGAGCAUUCUCUGGAACAAGAAAUCUCACUGCUCUGUAUUAUUAAUUUUUAACAAUUGUCAUAAUGACAGUAUGAACUUUGUGGUAACAACGAAACACAAUGCAUAUGGAAUUACUUAUGAUGAUCGCUCCAAGUUUUCAAAAGGAAUAUUCAGAGGAGUAAAAUUUUGUAAGGGUGCUUUCUAAAGUAUAUCACCUUUUCUUCUAUGAAAUUGAAAGGUAACAUUUGAUUGGAUUAAAGCUUUGUUGAAAUUCGAUGAGACAUGAAUGAAGUAAGUUGAUAUUGAGAUAAGAUUAAGCACAUUUAAGUUUUCUUUUGAUUUUUUAAAAAUAUAUUUACAGUACAAAGGAUUAUACAAAAUUUACAGUUUAUUAAUGUAUCGGAGCUUUCCUAAUGCACAAACAAAUUGAAUUUCAGGCACAACGAAAA